CGAACGCUGGCGGCGUGCCUAAUACAUGCAAGUCGAGCGGACAGAAGGGAGCUUGCUCCCGGAUGUUAGCGGCGGACGGGUGAGUAACACGUGGGUAACCUGCCUGUAAGACUGGGAUAACUCCGGGAAACCGGAGCUAAUACCGGAUAGUUCCUUGAACCGCAUGGUUCAAGGAUGAAAGACGGUUUCGGCUGUCACUUACAGAUGGACCCGCGGCGCAUUAGCUAGUUGGUGAGGUAACGGCUCACCAAGGCGACGAUGCGUAGCCGACCUGAGAGGGUGAUCGGCCACACUGGGACUGAGACACGGCCCAGACUCCUACGGGAGGCAGCAGUAGGGAAUCUUCCGCAAUGGACGAAAGUCUGACGGAGCAACGCCGCGUGAGUGAUGAAGGUUUUCGGAUCGUAAAGCUCUGUUGUUAGGGAAGAACAAGUGCAAGAGUAACUGCUUGCACCUUGACGGUACCUAACCAGAAAGCCACGGCUAACUACGUGCCAGCAGCCGCGGUAAUACGUAGGUGGCAAGCGUUGUCCGGAAUUAUUGGGCGUAAAGGGCUCGCAGGCGGUUUCUUAAGUCUGAUGUGAAAGCCCCCGGCUCAACCGGGGAGGGUCAUUGGAAACUGGGAAACUUGAGUGCAGAAGAGGAGAGUGGAAUUCCACGUGUAGCGGUGAAAUGCGUAGAGAUGUGGAGGAACACCAGUGGCGAAGGCGACUCUCUGGUCUGUAACUGACGCUGAGGAGCGAAAGCGUGGGGAGCGAACAGGAUUAGAUACCCUGGUAGUCCACGCCGUAAACGAUGAGUGCUAAGUGUUAGGGGGUUUCCGCCCCUUAGUGCUGCAGCUAACGCAU
rnacentral:rRNA from 1 species